ACAACGGUAACUUUAGUUGUCGUUUGCGUAUGUAAUUUGAUCCUUUUGAGUAUCCGUAGACCUGUGUUUACAUGUGUAGCGAACCAUGUUAGCUAGCUACGCUAGCCGUAAGCAACACUUUACUAUUUUCGAAUGAGUGAGUGACACGUUUGUCCAGGCACAUGUUCCUUUAAGUCAGCCUGUCUGCUGUCGUAGCCAUGCUAUCGCGGUUAUAGCUAGUUAGCGAGCUAACUUGAAUUUGACUUAUUUCAACAGGUGGCAGGCGCUAGCUAAAGUUAGCUAGCACGUAAGACUGAAUCCCAUGGCCUGAUCACAUGUGAGUAAGCUGUCUUGCGCACAAAUGCUAUAAAUAUGUAGCUAGCUAACUGGUGAAUCUCGUUUAGGUUUUCAUGCUAGGACUUCAGUUCUUUAAAUCAUUUAGAGGGAUUUGUCUGCUUCGAAGAGUGCUUGUAGCUGAAAACACCAAUGUGCGAACUGCACGAGGUGCCUCGCUGAAUUUGAUCAAAGCUCGUCAAAACAGUUGCUACGUUUCUGUGUUACCUCAAGGUCAGGUAAACUUAAUUGAAAUGCAGCCGGUCACUUGGACUGAUUAUGCUGUCGAGCUUGAGACAAACAGCACUGAACAUGGCAACGACCACCUGCUGUCACCUGCACAUGAUGCAUCAACCGAUCCAGUUGCUGCUGAGGAGAGUCACUUGCAUUGCAAUGUGAAGGAGCUCAUUGCCCCUGAACAUGAAAUAGUGAAGAGGAUCAAGAAGAGACCCAAAAAGCCACGUGGAAGGAAACAGAAGUCUAAGUCAUCUGAAUGUUCUGACAAUCUUAUGUCAGAACUUCCAUUUGCAAGUACAGCAAUAUGGAAGGACCUUGGCUUUACCAAGCCAGAGGCCAAAUUGAAAAAUAAACGAAAGAGAGGUGCAAGUGGUCGGGUAGAAAGUGAAGAGGAUGCAGAUACAAAGAAAAAGAAGGAAACACAACGCCCAAACUACUUUGUUUCAAUACCCAUCACAAAUCCCAAGAUCAGUGAAGGUGUGGGGGUGGUGCAGGCCCUGGUGAUGCAGAGAGACUCCAGACUCACACGGGCUCUGGUGCCUGUGGGCAGUCUUCACAUCACGCUGCUGGUGACCCACUUGGCCAGUCAAGAGGAAGUCAACUUGGCGGCGUGUGCAGUGGCCCAAAUGAAGGCAGCGCUGCGGGACCUGCUGCGGGGGCGGGAGCUCAUCCUGCCCUUCCACGGCAUCGGACACUUCAGGAAUGAGGUGGCGUUUGUAGAGCUGGCUCAGGGAGAACACCUCGCCACGCUGGCCCAGAUCACAGGGGUUGUGAGGAAAACAUUUGAGGAGAAAGGCCUCUCGUCCGGCGACGGCAAAGCGUUCAAGCCCCACCUUACCUUCAUGAAACUGUCCAAAGCUCCUAAGCUACGCAGUCAGGGUGUGAAGAAGCUGGACCCUGAGCUGUACUCUGACUACGCUCAGCAUCAUUUUGGAGAUGAGAGGGUGAUCAGGCUGGACCUCUGCUCAAUGUUGAAGAAAAAGACCCCAGAUGGAUACUACCACCAAGAGGCCUCCGUUACAUUUGGUGUGAAGAGGGGUCCGGAGCCUGACGAUGAGGAGCUGGUGAGUCUGAGUAAGAGGCUGGUGGAGGACGCCGUGCUGCGGGCCGUGCAGCAGUUCAUGGAUGAGACUCAGCACAACGGGGCCGCGUCAUCUGACCUGGCGCGGCCCUCAGACAACCUCAACAGUAACACUGUCAACACUACCACCACUGACACCAGCGCCAGCAGCAAGUGACCACAGACAAUUUCCCCCAGCCAGCACUGGACACUAACCAGCCCAGGCAGGAACUCAGGCAGUCAACCAGCCCAGGAGCCAAUAGGCAGUUGAGUGGUUUUACUAGACAAGGAAGGAGUUUUUUUGGAGCAGGACACUGAAUUGAUUGUGGAAUCCCUAUGCAGCUUUUUGUGUAUCUUUAACUCUGUCACCCACUACUCUCAGCAGUCUCCCUCCACACAAGCCCCUGUCGUGUCUGUCUGUCCAACUGUCUGACUAGUUUGGACCUUCAUUCUUUCCUCCUGUAAAGUGUUUCCCUUUUGAAGGAAAUUGCUGUUCUGAUUUAUUGGCUGCCAAAGGUCGCCCCAACAUUCAGAGUGGAGCUGACGUGUCACGACACACACUACAGACUGAUCUGGGACCUGAGGUUAGGUUGGGCUAAACCUCGGCCCUCUGCAAGGUGCGGUCAGUGCAAAGACAAUCACCGUCUUUCUACUAAAGCUAAAACAUCACUACAAAAUUAACUGCAACUCAAAAACUUGAGACCAAGGGAAUUGAGCUGGACUAUGCAGUUAGAAAAUAUGCUGGGAACUAUGUUUACGUGAUCCUGUCUCAUCUGUGCUGUAUGUGGUUAAAACGUGAAGGGUAAAUGAAGAGUGGGUCCCAUGUCCUACCUAUGGUAAAAAUCUGCUUUUUAAAAUCUAAUGAAAACACAGCCAAAAAGGUUGACCUACCGACGAUGAGGAUCACAUUGGGUGUCUGUUAGUUUGUUUGUGUGUUUUGUUUGUCCCCUGUAGAAGAGGCUGGUUGAUGCAGCAGGCCUGGUUGGGAAGCACCUUCACACACAGAACCAGUGUCCGUCUCAGAAACUACAGGACAUAAAGGAGCUUUUAUCCCAGCCAGCUGUCCAGGCUAGCAUCCGCCGGAAGAUCUCUGGCGGACAGAGUCCAUCUGCAUCUGACUGACUGAACACUACCAGUGCCCGCCUCCAGGGCGGAGACAGCACCAAGGAACGUCACAUACUGUAAGAGUAGGUUACUGUAACACGUACUGUAAGAGUAGGUUACUGUAACACGUACUGUAAGAGUAGGUUACUGUACCACACAGGAGAGAGACACCACAGUACAAACACAACAGAAAGUGCAUCCAGUUGUCAUAGUGGAAGGUUUUCUGUAUGGUAAUAUUAUUUACAUAAAAAAAAAAAGAUGUUUGUAAUUUUGAAAUGAGUAGAAAAAAAAUUGUUGGCUGAAAAAAGGACAACUGAUGAAUUUCAGUUUUUUAUUUUACAUGCUGUUAGCGAAGGAGAUGCUUAAAUUACCACAUCCGAGCUGGCCUUAAUAAUGACUGAAUUGAAGUAAACCUUGAUUUAUUAUUACCUUGCUCUUGGAGGCUUGUGUUUUGUUUAUGUCUGUGUUCAGCUUUUGCAUAAAUUCACCAGAACCUUAACAUAUGCUUUGUGUCACAGAUGUAUCGUGGGAUGCCACAGCGUUGUCUGCUGCCUUGCUUAUGGUCUCCACAGUCUAAAGGUUGUUCUAUGUACCAGGUCUGCUAGAUGUCAACGACAGUUUUGUGUGUCAUGUCUAGCCACAAUGAACAAUAAAAAAAAAUAAAAAAAUAAGGAUAUGAAAAUCGA